UACGUAGGUGGCGAGCGUUGUCCGGAUUUACUGGGUGUAAAGGGCGUGCAGCCGGGCUUGCAAGUCAGAUGUGAAAUGCAUGGGCUUAACCCAUGAACUGCAUUUGAAACUGUAGGUCUUGAGUACCGGAGGGGCAAUCGGAAUUCCUAGUGUAGCGGUGAAAUGCGUAGAUAUUAGGAGAAACACCAGUGGCGAAGGCGGAUUGCUGGACAGCAACUGACGGUGAGGCGCGAAAGCGUGGGGAGCAAAC
rnacentral:rRNA from 1 species